rnacentral:rRNA from 1 species
UCCUGCCAGUAGUCAUAUGCUUGUCUCAAAGAUUAAGCCAUGCAUGUCUAAGUCCAAGCUGUGUUCACACGGCGAGACCGCGGACGGCUCAUUAAAUCAGUCGUGGUCCAAAUGGGCCAGUGCAAAUCCUACUUGGAUAACUGUGGUAAUUCCAGAGCUAAUACAUGCAACUGAUAUCCCGAAGGCGGUGUUGGGGCUUGCUUGCCUUGCGCUGCGCUGCUCUGACGGAUGCUUUUAUUAGACCAAGCCGCUGAGGACUUGAGGGUUCGCGCUCUCUUGUUUGACUCGUGUGAUGGUGACUCUGGAUAACCAAAUUCUGACAAGCGCACGUACUUCUCUUCUGAGCGAGACGGCGCUGCCACUUUCGAGUGUCUGCCUUAUCAGCUAUCAACCGUUCGUUAUGCGCGACCGAUGGCUUUGACGGGUAACGGGGAAUCAGGGUUCGAUUCCGGAGAGGCAGCCUGAGAGACGGCUACCACGUCCAAGGACGGCAGCAGGCACGCAAAUUACCCAAUCCCAGCAAAUGGGGGAGGUAGUGACGAAAUCUAACGAUGCGGGCGCCCUUUCUGGGGCCCCGCAAUCGGAAUGGGCACUUUCUAAACAACCUGUUGAGAACCUACUGAAG